UCACCUGCUAUUGGAGUUCGGCUAAGCCAUGCAAGUUGAGAGAAUUAGAUUCUCGGCGUCAGGCUGAGUAACACGUGGGUAAUCUAACCUAAGGCGGGGAAUAACCUCGGGAAACUGAGGACAAUGCCCCAUAGGCAACGGAUACUGGAAGGUUCCUUUGCUAAAAGUUCCGACACCUUAGGAUGAGCCCGCGGCGGAUUAGGCUGUUGGUAGGGUAAUGGCCUACCAAACCAUUGAUCCGUAGGGGCCGUGAGAGCGGUAGCCCCCAGACGGGAACUGAGACAAGGUCCCGAGCCCUACGGGGUGCAGCAGGCGCGAAACCUCCGCAAUGCACGCAAGUGUGACGGGGGGACUCCAAGUGCACUAGAUUUUUUCUAGUGCUUUUCUGAAGUGUAAAUAGCUUCAGGAAUAAAGACUGGGUAAGACCGGUGCCAGCCGCCGCGGUAACACCGGCAGUCUGAGUGGUGACCACUUUUAUUGGGCCUAAAGCGUUCGUAGCCGGGUCUGUAGGUCUCCAGGUAAAUCUGGCAGCUUAACUGUCGGAAUUCUGGGGAUACCGCAGGUCUUGGAGCUGGGAGGGGGUGCGAGUACUCCAGGGGUAAGGGUGAAAUCUACUGAUCCUUGGGGGACUACCUGUGGCGAAGGCGCGCAUCCAGAACAGACUCGACGGUGAGGGACGAAACCCUGGGGAGCGAACGGGAUUAGAUACCCCGGUAGUCCAGGGCGUAAACGAUGCCCGUUUGGUGUUGCGUACUCUACGCGGGUGUGCAGUGCCGUAGCGUAGGUGUUUAACGGGCCGCCUGGGGAGUAUGGUCGCAAGGCUGAACUAA
rnacentral:rRNA from 1 species